GUGGGGAAUAUUGGACAAUGGGCGAAAGCCUGAUCCAGCCAUGCCGCGUGUGUGAAGAAGGUCUUCGGAUUGUAAAGCACUUUAAGUUGGGAGGAAGGGCAGUAAGUUAAUACCUUGCUGUUUUGACGUUACCGACAGAAUAAGCACCGGCUAACUUCGUGCCAGCAGCCGCGGUAAUACGAAGGGUGCAAGCGCUAAUCGGAAUUACUGGGCGUAAAGCGCGCGUAGGUGGUUUUGUAAGUUGGAGGUGAAAUCCCCUGGCUCAACCUGGGAACUGCCUCCAAAACUGCAUGACUAGAGUACGGUAGAGGGUAGUGAAAUUUCCUGUGUAGCGGUGAAAUGCGUAGAUAUAGGAAGGAACACCAGUGGCGAAGGCGACUACCUGGACUGAUACUGACACUGAGGUGCGAAAGCGUGGGGAGCAAACAGGAUUAGAAACCCGGGUAGUCC
rnacentral:rRNA from 1 species